UACGAAGGGGGCUAGCGUUGUUCGGAAUCACUGGGCGUAAAGGGCGCGUAGGCGGCCGAUCAAGUCAGGCGUGAAAGCCCCGGGCUCAACCUGGGAACCGCGCUUGAGACUGGAGAACUAGAGUUCGGGAGAGGAUGGUGGAAUUCCCAGUGUAGAGGUGAAAUUCGUAGAUAUUCGGAAGAACACCAGUGGCGAAGGCGACUUACUGGACAACUGUUGACGCUGAGGUGCGAAAGCGUGGGGAGCAAACAGG
rnacentral:rRNA from 1 species